rnacentral:tRNA from 1 species
AGGUUUGUAGGACUAUAGUACUUGGCUUCGAACCAAGGUGUCUAGGGUUCAAGUCCCUCCAAGCCUC